GUGUAACAACUCACCUGCCGAAUGAACUAGCCCUGAAAAUGGAUGGCGCUGAAGCAAACCACUUAUACUCAACCACUACGUAUGCCAAGUGCCAAGGCCUAGUGAGUAGGAGGGCGUGAAGCUUGUUGCAUAGCUUAUACCGUGAGGUUAAGUGAAACGGCCUUUAGUGCAGAUCUUGGUGGUAGUAGC
rnacentral:rRNA from 1 species